UGGCUCAGAUUGAACGCUGGCGGCAUGCCUUACACAUGCAAGUCGAACGGCAGCAUGAUCUAGCUUGCUAGAUUGAUGGCGAGUGGCGAACGGGUGAGUAAUACAUCGGAACGUGCCCUGUAGUGGGGGAUAACUAGUCGAAAGAUUAGCUAAUACCGCAUACGACCUGAGGGUGAAAGUGGGGGACCGCAAGGCCUCAUGCUAUAGGAGCGGCCGAUGUCUGAUUAGCUAGUUGGUGGGGUAAAGGCCCACCAAGGCGACGAUCAGUAGCUGGUCUGAGAGGACGAUCAGCCACACUGGGACUGAGACACGGCCCAGACUCCUACGGGAGGCAGCAGUGGGGAAUUUUGGACAAUGGGCGAAAGCCUGAUCCAGCAAUGCCGCGUGUGUGAAGAAGGCCUUCGGGUUGUAAAGCACUUUUGUCCGGAAAGAAAUGGCUCUGGUUAAUACCUGGGGUCGAUGACGGUACCGGAAGAAUAAGGACCGGCUAACUACGUGCCAGCAGCCGCGGUAAUACGUAGGGUCCAAGCGUUAAUCGGAAUUACUGGGCGUAAAGCGUGCGCAGGCGGUUGUGCAAGACCGAUGUGAAAUCCCCGAGCUUAACUUGGGAAUUGCAUUGGUGACUGCACGGCUAGAGUGUGUCAGAGGGGGGUAGAAUUCCACGUGUAGCAGUGAAAUGCGUAGAGAUGUGGAGGAAUACCGAUGGCGAACGCAGCCCCCUGGGAUACACUGACGCUCAUGCACGAAGCGUGGGGAGCAAAC
rnacentral:rRNA from 1 species